GACGGGGCCGCACAAGCGGUGGAUUAUGUGGAUUAAUUCGAUGCAACGCGAAAACCUUACCUACCCUUGACAUGCUAGGAACUUGCCAGAGAUGGCUUGGUGCCCGAAAGGGAACCUAGACACAGGUGCUGCAUGGCUGUCGUCAGCUCGUGUCGUGAGAUGUUGGGUUAAGUCCCGCAACGAGCGCAACCCUUGUCAUUAAUUGCCAUCAUUCAGUUGGGCACUUUAAUGAGACUGCCGGUGACAAACCGGAGGAAGGUGGGGAUGACGUCAAGUCCUCAUGGCCCUUAUGGGUAGGGCUUCACACGUAAUACAAUGGCUGGUACAAAGGGUUGCCAACCCGCGAGGGGGAGCCAAUCCCAUAAAGCCAGUCGUAGUCCGGAUCGCAGUCUGCAACUCGACUGCGUGAAGUCGGAAUCGCUAGUAAUCGUGGAUCAGCAUGUCACGGUCGAAUACGUUCCCGGGCCUU
rnacentral:rRNA from 1 species